CUAUAGAUCAGUCUAAUUACAUUUAGUCAGGUGGAUUUAUUUGAUCACCUCUUAAAAAUGGCAUCUUCCUGGCAAACUAGAAUUCUGUUCUGUGCAUCUGCUGAGUAGACAUUCAGUGUCUGCUGGUAAUGGAAAUAGAGUAAUUCUUAGUUACUGUAGUCUUCAGCUAAUCAUUUCCUUCAUAAAGUUUAAACUGACUGGAAUUUUUCAGCAACGUGGAUGGAUUUGGACUGGAAGCAGAAGCCCGCAUGACCACAUGGCACAUUAUGAUCCCCUCGGACAUUGAACCAGAUGGUAGUUACAGCCAAGAUAUUAGCGAAGGGCGUCAGCUUCUCAUAAAAGCUGUCAACAGAGUUUGGACUGAACUGAUACAUAGUAAGAAACAAGUCUUAGAGGAACUUUUCAAAGUAACUCUACCUGUGAAUGAAAGGGGCCACGUGGACAUAGCUACAGCAAGGCCACUCAUUGAAGAAGCUGCCCUGAAGUGCUGGCAGAAUCAUUUGGCCCAUGAAAAGAAAUGCAUAAGUCGAGGAGAAGCUUUAGCGCCCACCACACAGUCCAAAUUAUCCCGUGUCAGCAGUGGCUUUGGUCUUUCCAAGUUAACAGGAUCAAGAAGGAAUCGAAAAGAAAGUGGUCUUAAUAAACACAGUCUUUCCACCCAGGAGAUUUCGCAGUGG
rnacentral:sRNA from 1 species